AGCAUGCAUCGCUGGGACAGCUCUUCCACACAGUGGCUGCCAACACCAAGGCCUCACAGACAGGGCUUUUAUUUAACAGAAAAGUGACACACAGUCACAGCUGGCAGGGCGAGAGGCUGGUGCAGAACACCAGUGGAGGUGCCAGGUGCCAUGUUAGGCCAAUUAGGCUGGGUUAUUUAAUGCAGAAGUGGAGGGGGCUAAGUGGUAAUGGGGAAGGUUUGGUGGUGGUUUUGGUCCUGCCCACACCAGUGGAGGCUCCAAGGAACAGCUCAGCAGGAGAAGCAGACCUCACUUCAUUGCCAAGCCAGAUCCUAUGUGUGUCUGUUUUCACCUGCAGAGGAGGUGGCUUCUGAGAAUGCCAAAGAUAGCAGGAGAUGUUAAAGUGAUCACCUUAUUCUGUGGGGAACAAAGGAGUGAGGUCAGUAAUGUUACCACACUAAUUACUAUAAUGCUAUAUUAAUCAAAUCAGUUAAAUAUGAUCAACGUAAAUAAGCUAUUUGCUGUUCACAUUCUCAGCCUACCCAAAUGUAGUCUUAGUAUUAUGAAUAAAAUACCCUGCUUUUAACUCAGUUUUAUACCAAAAAGACUGAACAUAACAAUUUCAUUUCAAUAAUAAAAAGCCCAAACUAAGACUUAACCAUUGUAGCCACACUUUCUUUUGUAACAAAUUGUAGCAGAACUUCAGUAAAAAUU